UACGUAGGGUGCAAGCGUUAAUCGGAAUUACUGGGCGUAAAGCGUGCGCAGGCGGUGAUGUAAGACAGGUGUGAAAUCCCCGGGCUUAACCUGGGAACUGCAUUUGUGACUGCAUCGCUGGAGUGCGGCAGAGGGGGAUGGAAUUCCGCGUGUAGCAGUGAAAUGCGUAGAUAUGCGGAGGAACACCGAUGGCGAAGGCAAUCCCCUGGGCCUGCACUGACGCUCAUGCACGAAAGCGUGGGGAGCAAACAGGA
rnacentral:rRNA from 1 species